UACAGAGGGUGCGAGCGUUGUUCGGAAUUAUUGGGCGUAAAGGGCGCGUAGGCGGUGCGGUAAGUCACCUGUGAAAUCUCCUGGCUCAACUGGGAGCUUGCAGGCGAAACUGCCGUGCUGGAGUGUGGGAGAGGUGCGUGGAAUUCCUGGUGGAGCGGUGAAAUGCGUAGAGAUCGGAAAGAACACCAACGGCGAAAGCAACUCUGCUGGGCCGACACUGACACUGAGAGACGAAAGCUAGGGGAGCGAAUGGG
rnacentral:rRNA from 1 species